GAUGAAGAACGUAGCGAAAUGCAAUAAGUAAUGUGAAUUGCAGAAUUCAGUGAAUCAUCGAAUCUUUGAACGCACAUUGCGCCCGCCAGUAUUCUGGCGGGCAUGCCUGUUCGAGCGUCAUUUCAACCAUCAAGCCCCCGGCUUGUGUUGGGGACCCUGCGGCUGCCCGCAGGCCCUGAAAACCAGUGGCGGGCUCGCUGUCACUCCGAGCGUAGUAGCAUAUAUCUCGCUCAGGGCGUGCUGCGGGUUCCGGCCGUUAAAAGCCUUUUUUUUACCCAAGGUUGACCUCGGAUCAGGUAGGAAGACCCGCUGAACUUAAGCAUAUCAAUAAGCGGAGGA
rnacentral:misc_RNA from 1 species